rnacentral:rRNA from 1 species
GAUGAACGCUGGCGGCGUGCCUAAUACAUGCAAGUCGAGCGAGCAGAUGAGGAGCUUGCUCCUCUGACGUUAGCGGCGGACGGGUGAGUAACACGUGGAUAACCUACCUAUAAGACUGGGAUAACUUCGGGAAACCGGAGCUAAUACCGGAUAAUAUAUUGAACCGCAUGGUUCAUUAGUGAAAGACGGUUUUGCUGUCACUUAUAGAUGGAUCCGCGCCGCAUUAGCUAGUUGGUAAGGUAACGGCUUACCAAGGCAACGAUGCGUAGCCGACCUGAGAGGGUGAUCGGCCACACUGGAACUGAGACACGGUCCAGACUCCUACGGGAGGCAGCAGUAGGGAAUCUUCCGCAAUGGGCGAAAGCCUGACGGAGCAACGCCGCGUGAGUGAUGAAGGUCUUCGGAUCGUAAAACUCUGUUAUUAGGGAAGAACAAAUGUGUAAGUAACUAUGCACGUCUUGACGGUACCUAAUCAGAAAGCCACGGCUAACUACGUG